AAGUUAAAUUAUUUAGUUAUUUAUAUAUCACACAUUUUUCUCCCAGGAAGGAAUUUCAACCAUGUUUAGUGGUCUGCUACCACACCAGCUCCUUUAAAGAAUCCAGUUAGCUCAAGACAUCAUCAGGAGGAACCACGUCUGGUUUCGGCCCCUACUCCUCUACCGUUUUGACAAGGCAUCCUCCCCACCUUUCGGAGGUGUCUUCAGCU